rnacentral:rRNA from 1 species
GACGAACGCUGGCGGCGUGCUUAACACAUGCAAGUCGAGCGGAAAGGCCCUUUCGGGGGUACUCGAGCGGCGAACGGGUGAGUAACACGUGAGUAAUCUGCCCUUGGCUUUGGGAUAACCACCGGAAACGGUGGCUAAUACCGGAUAUGACGGGCUCCGGCAUCGGGGUUCGUGGAAAGUUUUUUCGGCCAGGGAUGUGCUCGCGGCCUAUCAGCUUGUUGGUGGGGUAAUGGCCUACCAAGGCUUCGACGGGUAGCCGGCCUGAGAGGGUGACCGGCCACACUGGGACUGAGACACGGCCCAGACUCCUACGGGAGGCAGCAGUGGGGAAUAUUGGACAAUGGGCGGAAGCCUGAUCCAGCAACGCCGCGUGAGGGAUGACGGCCUCGG